AGUGAACGCUGGCGGUAGGCCUAACACAUGCAAGUCGAACGGCCGCACAGUAAGCGCUUGCUCUUACGGGUGGCGAGUGGCGGACGGGUGAGGAAUACAUCGGAAUCUACUUUUUCGUGGGGGAUAACGUAGGGAAACUUACGCUAAUACCGCAUACGACCUACGGGUUAAAGCAGGGGAUCUUCGGACCUUUCGCGAUUGAAUGAGCCGGUGUCGGAUUAGCUAGUUGGCGGGGUAAAGGCCCACCAAGGCGACGAUCCGUAGCUGGUCUGAGAGGAUGAUCAGCCACACUGGAACUGAGACACGGUCCAGACUCCUACGGGAGGCAGCAGUGGGGAAUAUUGGACAAUGGGCGCAAGCCUGAUCCAGCCAUACCGCGUGAGUGAAGAAGGCCUUCGGGUUGUAAAGCCCUUUUGUUGGGGAAGAAAAGCAGCAGGAUAAUACCUCGCUGUUCUGACGGUACCCAAAGAAAAAGCACCGGCUAACUUCGUG
rnacentral:rRNA from 1 species